rnacentral:rRNA from 1 species
CCCUGCCCUUUGUACACACCGCCCGUCGCUAGUACCGAUCGAAUGGCUUAGUGAGGCCUCCGGACUUGCGCUUGAGAGCUGGCAACGGUUUUCGGGCGCGGGGAAGUUGAACGAACUUGGUCAUUUAG